rnacentral:rRNA from 1 species
UACGUAGGGUGCAAGCGUUAUCCGGAAUUAUUGGGCGUAAAGAGCUCGUAGGCGGUUUGUCGCGUCUGCUGUGAAAACUGGAGGCUCAACCUCCAGCCUGCAGUGGGUACGGGCAAACUAGAGUUCGGUAGGGGAGACUGGAAUUCCUGGUGUAGCGGUGAAAUGCGCAGAUAUCAGGAGGAACACCGAUGGCGAAGGCAGGUCUCUGGGCCGAUACUGACGCUGAGGAGCGAAAGCGUGGGGAGCAAACAGG